rnacentral:rRNA from 1 species
GGCUCAGGACGAACGCUGGCGGCGUGCCUAAUACAUGCAAGUAGAACGCUGAAGAGAGGAGCUUGCUCUUCUUGGACGAGUUGCGAACGGGUGAGUAACGCGUAGGUAACCUGCCUUGUAGCGGGGGAUAACUAUUGGAAACGAUAGCUAAUACCGCAUAACAAUGGAUGACACAUGUCAUUUAUUUGAAAGGGGCAAUUGCUCCACUACAAGAUGGACCUGCGUUGUAUUAGCUAGUAGGUGAGGUAAUGGCUCACCUAGGCGACGAUACAUAGCCGACCUGAGAGGGUGAUCGGCCACACUGGGACUGAGACACGGCCCAGACUCCUACGGGAGGCAGCAGUAGGGAAUCUUCGGCAAUGGGGGCAACCCUGACCGAGCAACGCCGCGUGAGUGAAGAAGGUUUUCGGAUCGUAAAGCUCUGUUGUAAGUCAAGAACGGGUGUGAGAGUGGAAAGUUCACACUGUGACGGUAGCUUACCAGAAAGGGACGGCUAACUACGUGCCAGCAGCCGCGGUAAUACGUAGGUCCCGAGCGUUGUCCGGAUUUAUUGGGCGUAAAGCGAGCGCAGGCGGUUUGAUAAGUCUGAAGUUAAAGGCUGUGGCUCAACCAUAGUUCGCUUUGGAAACUGUCAAACUUGAGUGCAGAAGGGGAGAGUGGAAUUCCAUGUGUAGCGGUGAAAUGCGUAGAUAUAUGGAGGAACACCGGUGGCGAAAGCGGCUCUCUGGUCUGUAACUGACGCUGAGGCUCGAAAGCGUGGGGAGCGAACAGGAUUAGAUACCCUGGUAGUCCACGCCGUAAACGAUGAGUGCUAGGUGUUGGAUCCUUUCCGGGAUUCAGUGCCGCAGCUAACGCAUUAAGCACUCCGCCUGGGGAGUACGACCGCAAGGUUGAAACUCAAAGGAAUUGACGGGGGCCCGCACAAGCGGUGGAGCAUGUGGUUUAAUUCGAAGCAACGCGAAGAACCUUACCAGGUCUUGACAUCCCGAUGCUAUUUCUAGAGAUAGAAAGUUACUUCGGUACAUCGGUGACAGGUGGUGCAUGGUUGUCGUCAGCUCGUGUCGUGAGAUGUUGGGUUAAGUCCCGCAACGAGCGCAACCCCUAUUGUUAGUUGCCAUCAUUCAGUUGGGCACUCUAGCGAGACUGCCGGUAAUAAACCGGAGGAAGGUGGGGAUGACGUCAAAUCAUCAUGCCCCUUAUGACCUGGGCUACACACGUGCUACAAUGGUUGGUACAACGAGUUGCGAGUCGGUGACGGCGAGCUAAUCUCUUAAAGCCAAUCUCAGUUCGGAUUGUAGGCUGCAACUCGCCUACAUGAAGUCGGAAUCGCUAGUAAUCGCGGAUCAGCACGCCGCGGUGAAUACGUUCCCGGGCCUUGUACACACCGCCCGUCACACCACGAGAGUUUGUAACACCCGAAGUCGGUGAGGUAACCUUUUGGAGCCAGCCGCCUAAGGUGGGACAGAUG